UCACUGUCGCGGAGGCCGCAGCUAUCUUCAACCUCUAGCCAGAGUUUAUCUCACGUACGCGUAUGAACCAGAACCGAAAAUCUCCUGUUUCUUCGCCGGUUCCGUUCGAUUUCGUGCUCUCUUUUUCCACGAAAUUCUAUCUAUAAAUAACCCACACCUGUGCACACUUUAUCCCGCAAAACCCUAACCAAUCCCGCUGCCAGGCUGACGAUUUUGCUCGCCGGAGUCCGUCUCUGCCGUCGCCGUAUUUCUCUCGAUUCCGACGAGUAUUCAAGCGUAGCGCUGACGCCGAAGAAAUCUGAGGUUGCCGCAGCCUUGGCAACUCCGUCCGAAGAACGCCGGCAACUCAGGGCCUCCGAGGCAACGCCCUGUAUGCAGUCGACCCCUUCGUCUUCGUCCGCUUCACGUCGACCUCGCCACCACCGCCGACGACCACUAGAACGACGGGAACCAUCACCUCGACUGGAUCACACCGGAGCAGCACCACCUCCGGCCGUCCUCGUCGUUGUUACACGGAAGAGAUCGAGGCCGCCGGCCUCAACACCGAGCUCUGCGCGAAGAGCUGGUUCCCGUGGACAUUUUCCCUGAGCCAGGACACCACCGGAGAGGGGCCAUGGACCGCGCGCGACCACGCCAGUGUCUCCUUCGUCAACAUCGACUCACUUUGUACGGAGAGAUACGAGUUCUGAUUGAGAGAAGAGCAGAAUUCUUCAGAUACCA